GACGAACGCUGGCGGCGUGCCUAAUACAUGCAAGUCGAUCGGAUUCGUCAAGAAGCUUGCUUCUUGGUGGGUUAGAGGCGGACGGGUGAGUAACACGUAGGCAACCUGCCCUUAAGACUGGGAUAACUACCGGAAACGGUAGCUAAGACCGGAUACGCAGCAUCCCCGCAUGAGGGUGCUGGGAAAGUCGGAGCAAUCUGACACUUAUGGAUGGGCCUGCGGCGCAUUAGCUAGUUGGUGGGGUAACGGCUCACCAAGGCGACGAUGCGUAGCCGACAUGAGAGGGUGAACGGCCACGCUGGGACUGAGACACGGCCCAGACUCCUACGGGAGGCAGCAGUAGGGAAUCUUCCGCAAUGGACGCAAGUCUGACGGAGCAACGCCGCGUGAGUGAGGAAGGUCUUCGGAUCGUAAAGCUCUGUUGCCAGGGAAGAAUAGCUUCAUAUUAACUGCAUGGAGUGUGACGGUACCUGAGAAGAAAGCCCCGGCUAACUACGUGCCAGCCCGCCGCCGUAA
rnacentral:rRNA from 1 species